rnacentral:rRNA from 1 species
GUUGACCUCGGAUCAGGUAGGGAUACCCGCUGAACUUAAGCAUAUCAAUAAGCGGAGGAAAAGAAACCAACAGGGAUUGCUCUAGUAACGGCGAGUGAAGCAGCAAUAGCUCAAAUUUGAAAUCUGGCGUCUUCGGCGUCCGAGUUGUAAUUUGUAGAGGAUGCUUCUGGGCAGCCACCGACCUAAGUUCCUUGGAACAGGACGUCAUAGAGGGUGAGAAUCCCGUAUG